UCGAUCUCUCUUUUCCCCUCCCGCACGACUCUUUCUCUCUCCUCCUCACCGCGUCCGUACGACCUCUGCCGUUUCGCACGUGCGCGCGCGACGCCAUCCGAUCGUCGCCAUCAUCCGUAGCCGCCUCCGCCGCAAUCUUCUUUGGCCGUUAUUUUUGGUUCGCUAUCGACGGCAUCCUGCCGUCAUCUUCACCAUUUUCGAGAAGGUUCCGAUGAUUGAUUUCGUGCAAUUUUCGACUAGAUAGCUUCUUAGCUUAGAAGCUGCUUUUGAGGUACCGAGACUGAUUUUACGGGCGGGGCUGAGACCGUGUUAACGUUAGACGUAGCUAGUUUUGAUUUUAAUCCCUUUUGUUUUUACAUCUAGUAUUUUCGGAUGUGAAUUUUUGGACUACGUAGAUGAUCGUUGUUAUCUAUUUUUGUUUCGUUAUUUCUUCGUACCCACUUUUGUUACUUUUAGUAUUUUGUAGACCGAAUCUCUCUUGUGAUUCGUAGUAAGCUUAGUUCUAUAG